ensembl:lncRNA
CGCUGAUAGUGUUAACUAAAGGAGCAAGCUGAUAGUGUUAACUAAAGGAGAAAGCUCUAGAACGCUGAUAGUAUUAACUAAAGGAGAAAGCUCUAGAAAGCUGAUAGUGUUAACUAAAGGAGAAAGCUGAUAGUGUUAACUAAAGGAGAAAGCUCUAGAAAGCUGAUAGUGUUAAACCACAAUGAUUGUUGAUUAACAACACGGGCUAAUAAAGAACCGUUGGAAGGUCAGAGGUCGAAAGGGCAACUCACCCAGUUGAAGUGACAGAGUGGUCUGAUGAGUGGUGGGUGGUGGGCUCAGAACUCUUUCUGCUGAUCUUUCUGGUCUUUCCAGAACCAGAACCCUCCUUCACCACCACUACCACUCUGUCUUCAGCUACAGUCUCUCUCUGGGACCCUGCCGCUCGCUCCCCUGUAGAGGCAGGUCUGUCUACGGAGGACGAGGUCUUCUCUCCUUUCUGUUCCCUGGUGGCUGACUUCUCCCUGGAAGAUGACCUGUCCGUCUUGGCUGAUGCUGGUCUCUCUCUCUCCUUGGAGCUCUCAGCUGGUCUCUCUCCAGUAGAGGUGAUAGUGGUGGUGAUAUUAGCAGCUGGAGCUGGUCUCUCCUCUGGGCGGGCCAUACUGCUGUUCCUCCCCAGGUCUCUGUUCAGUUUGAUUCUCCUCUGGGGGAAGGGUUUGACCUGCAGACCCAUGAGAGGCCAGAUAGACCCCCUGUCACUCUCUCUUCUGCCCGCCUCAGAGCUCCCUGGGGUGGGCAGCAGCCCGUCGCCUCUCCCCUCUCUCCCCAGGUCCAUGGAGGAACCAGGGAUGGAGAUUGAGAUGGGAUGGAAACGGUCUAGCCUCCCUGUCUGUGAGGAACCAGGGAUGGGGAGCAGACCCUCUCCUCUACCCGACUCUCUGCAUGCCAGGUUCAGGAGGAGGGAAGGCUUGGCAGGAAGUCCUCUCUGGGGGUACGGACCCUCGGCGCGGCGGAGCUUAGCCGGGGGCCCCCCCAUCCCCCUGUCCAUCCCCCUCCCCCUUUCCCUCUCCUCCACUCUCCUCCUCUUCUCUGCUGGGGAGGGAGGUGCAGGCUGGAGGGGGCGACCAGGGGGGCGUACCCCGACACUGUGAAUGGGAUCUCUCCUUCCCCCCCGGGCGUCGCCCAGGUGUUUAGGGAGGUCGUGGGGGUGAGGGGGGAGGGGGCGGGGCAGGGGGAGUUUAGCCAAACCUCCUCGAACAGUAGGGGUGCUCCGCCCCUUCUCUCUCCUGAUUGGCUCGUCCGGUUUGACCUUGGAUGCUUUGGUUGGUUUAGCGGCUGAAGACUCUUUGUUCUUAGAGGCUGUGACCGUCGCCUCUCCUCCCGUCUUUCUCUUAACCUUCUCUCCUUUCACCUUUCCCUCCGUCUUUACUUUCAGCUUACCCACCUUCUCCUUCCUGCUCUUCUCUGAUUGGCCGGACGAGGUGGGAGGGGUUUUACCGGAGAGCAGCGCUGCCUUAUUGCUCGAGACCUUGGUGGAGGUGGGUGGGGCUUUGCUAGGGGUCAGGGUGUGGAGAUCAUCCAUUGGCUCGUCCCUGACGGGUGUGGCGUCUCCCCUGUCCAGCGAUUGGUCGGCUGAAUCCUCCUCACCGUUCUUCUUUUUCUUCAGUUUCUUCCCUUUCAGAGUUUUAGUUCCGCCCUCUGACGUUUUGGUUCCCCCCUGCGUGCGUUCCUUACUUCCGCCCCCCCUGACGGAGGCAGAGGGCAGAGCGGACAAGGCGUGGUGAGUUCUGUGGGGUCCGGGAGGUCCCCCUCUCUCACCCCUCCUCACCCGCCCCUGGGGGGAGUAGUCUCUGGGCGGAGGGGUGAGGCGGUCCCUCUCUCUGCUGCCCCGGCCACCGCGGUGGUGCACCGAGGCAUGCUGGGUACUGUAGUCUUUGUAGUACUUGUUGUACCAGUCCCUGUACUCUUUCUCCCACUGUCUGUAGCUGUCUCUUUCCCAGCGUUCCCUGCCGCCGGGAGACAGGUCAGGUCCGCCUUUAGGCUCGUAAGGAGCCGGCUCUCGAGGGGGGGGCUUAUGGUGACCUCUAACCCCUCCAGGACUCCUGCUCCUCCUGUAGCCCCCCGGGGAGCGAGACCUGGGCCGAUACCCCCCUCCUCCUCCUCCUUCAACUCCGUCUCCUCCUUCCCAGCCCCCCCCACCACCACCUCGGUAAGGCGGAGGGGAGCGAGGAGAGCCGGAGCGACGGUAGCCGUAGGAACGGGAGCGUGAGCGGGACCGUGGCGAGCGACCGUAGGAUCGGCUGCGUCCUCCCCGGCCUCCGUUGCGUCUGGAGAAGGGGGAGCGUCCGUAAGACCUGGAACGGGAGCGGGAGCGGCUGGGGGUGUACGAGUAAGACCUGGAGCGGGAGCGAGGAGAUCGGGAGUAGGGGGAACGGCUGAACGGAGAACGACUGUAGGAACGAG